rfam:Nelumbo nucifera unplaced genomic scaffold scaffold00047, whole genome shotgun sequence
UGGUUACUGCGAUGUUGGCCCGGUUCAUUCAGACAAACAACCUCACAUGCAGUGUAUUACACGUAGAGGUGUGUUAUUUUGAUUGAGCCGUGCCAAUAUCUCAGUACUCUUU